UUAGUGGCGAACGGGUGAGUAACACGUGAGUAACCUGCCCUUGACUCUGGGAUAAGCCUGGGAAACCGGGUCUAAUACUGGAUACGACCUUCUGGCGCAUGCCAUGUUGGUGGAAAGCUUUUGUGGUUUUGGAUGGACUCGCGGCCUAUCAGCUUGUUGGUGGGGUAAUGGCCUACCAAGGCGACGACGGGUAGCCGGCCUGAGAGGGUGACCGGCCACACUGGGACUGAGACACGGCCCAGACUCCUACGGGAGGCAGCAGUGGGGAAUAUUGCACAAUGGGCGCAAGCCUGAUGCAGCGACGCCGCGUGAGGGAUGAAGGCCUUCNGGGGGGGGGGGUCUUUCAGUAGGGAAGAAGCCGGUCUUUUGGGUUGGUGACGGUACCUGCAGAAGAAGCGCCGGCUAACUACGUGCCAGCAGCCGCGGUAAUACGUAGGGCGCAAGCGUUAUCCGGAAUUAUUGGGCGUAAAGAGCUCGUAGGCGGUUUGUCGCGUCUGCCGUGAAAGUCCGGGGCUUAACUCCGGAUCUGCGGUGGGUACGGGCAGACUAGAGUGCAGUAGGGGAGACUGGAAUUCCUGG
rnacentral:rRNA from 1 species